UACGGGGGGGGGCAAGCGUUGUUCGGAAUUACUGGGCGUAAAGGGCUCGUAGGCGGCCAACUAAGUCAGACGUGAAAUCCCUCGGCUUAACCGGGGAACUGCGUCUGAUACUGGAUGGCUUGAGUUCGGGAGAGGGAUGCGGAAUUCCAGGUGUAGCGGUGAAAUGCGCAGAUAUCAGGAGGAACACCGAUGGCGAAGGCAGAUCUCUGGGCCGUAACUGACGCUGAGGAGCGAAAGCAUGGGGGAGCGAACAGG
rnacentral:rRNA from 1 species